rnacentral:snRNA from 1 species
AAGGAUGAUCUAAGGCCAA